ACACUGAAAGCUGGAAGCUCUGGCAGACGACAGCACAUGCCAUCUGCUGCUGUGCACCUCAUAAGUGUUGUAUACAAACACAUAUCGCCUCCCUCCGCGCACGUUAGCCCCCCCACCCUCCCCAGCGCCAAAUGCACAUCAAAGUCGACUGUAGCCGGAGGUGGAAACUAAUGUCUGCUCAGGAAGACAAAUUUGGGAUCUGAGCUGACAUUAGGAAAGAUAUUAGAGCUGACGCACGGCAUCUGGGAGAGAGGCUCAAGGACAAAAUCAUAUCACCUGUACAUGUCAGGAUAUACAUGCAUACGCACGGCCACAUUUUUAAGGCAUGGGAAUCAAACAUCCAUCCCUCCAUUAUCUGUACACCCUAGACAGGCCGGCAGCACAUUGCAGGGUCUCCAAUUAGCCUAAUACUAGUCUACAUGUCUUUGGAAAGGAGACAAUUGUGGUCCAUUACCAGGAUGAAGAUAUAAGAACAGAAUAAGAGCCACUAUAUCACUGCAGUAUACAUGCAGUCGUGAGACACUCUGCAGAAAGUGCAAAAGAAAAGAAGUGAAAUGAUUUUCUCCGAUUAUUUCUCGACUCUUCCACAAAACUUUUUCAUCCCACUUCAGCUGGAGCUCUAGUUGUCAUAGCAACACUUCAGGCGUAUAGUCACAUCCCAGGUCAAACUUUCUGUGCGAUCCCUCCCUGGCCUGUGCCGAUCUUAUUCAAGCAGCCAUCAUCUAAUUGUCUUAGCUUAUUAUUUUAUUCCGGUCUGUUGGUUUUUCUUCUCUCUUCCCCUCUCUUUGCUGUUUUAGGACAAGAUUUGCUCAGUGUUUCAGUUUCUCUCUGCCCCGGCAUGUUCGUACUUUAAUAUUUAUGACAUAAUGCAUUUCCCAGCCCCUUGUAGCCCAAUCUCGGAGGCUAUUGAGGAUCAGCUGAUGAUGAAUCAGCCUCUGGGGUCAACGGCGAACAUUUUGGGGCUUCUGGUGUAGAGAGCAGAUAUCCAGGCCAAGACUCUAUCUUUCAUUGGCCGUACACUGUUUACAACGAACGUUUCCCCUUACAAAACACAAACAACAAUACUUUUUGUAGGUGUUUUAGGUCCAGAUCACAUAAGUAAUUCUGCUUCUUUUGCUCUCCACGUGGACUGUUUACCAGCGGGCGACCAAAGCCUGCUCAAACAUGAGUGGUUAAACUAUAAAUUGACACAAAAUCCCGUCCCUCAUCUACAGAUGCUGCAUAUUCACAUGCAUAAUCUACUUAUAGAGGCCGCUUACACCCACAUCAACAUCAAAACUAAAUGCCUGACCCUUACCCUGACCUAAGGCUUAUUCUAACAUGGCCCAUAAACCAAGACUUAACCUUUAAACAGCUCGUUGAGUGUGUCAGAAGUUGAGGACUUAAAGGUACACAAACACUCACACACACAGGCCUUGAUUAGAUGAGAGCUGCACGUGAGGAUUUCCACUGAAGUCUGCUUAGAAGCGUUUUCUUCGCAGCCAGCGCACACACAUGUAAAGUAAACACACACAUUUAUCCUCACAACCACAUGCACUCCUGCCUGACAAAGGCCCAUCUGUGGCAGACGUCAUUUAUCUUGCUUUCUACCUGUUGAUUACUAAUCAUCCCGUCUCCAAACAAAACUGAAAGGACAAAUUAUGCACCCGUGCAGCCCAGCUUCCCUUCCACACGGCGGCUUUUAUGUUCAAACAAGCCCCCUGCUCUCUUAUCGUGAGAAAUGUUUUCGACUCAUAUGGUAAUACGGCGGCGGGGAAAAUAGGUUUAUGGCUCUCCUGCCAUUCACACACACACAGAGGGAGCCUCUCCAUAACAAAUGAUAAAAGCAUUGAUUAAUAUUCAUACUCUCUCGCAGCGGAGGAGAGGCACAAACUGUGGAGAAAGGAACCUGACUGCAAUCUAAAAAUAGUUAGAGCGUAACUUCUCUCUCUCGUUCUCUGUCUCCCUGACAGGCUCAGGCUUUUCCUUCCAUUUCAAGCACUGAACACUUAUGUAAUGUUUCCCUUUGAAAUAAGGUCAGACACCUAAGCCUUUUAAGAUACAUUAAUGUGGGUGAGAAGGAGCCACUGCAACACCUCAGUGGUCUCUGUACACUGAUGUUCUCACCAUGAACAAUGCUUGACCAAGUCCCAGUUUGAAGAGUAGGUUGGACGAACAUCAGUGAUUAAUCAGAAAUGGAUUGUAAACAUAUACAAUUCAAUACAACUGUGGAACGGUCUUCAGGAAAACGAUGACCGACCAUGGAAACUAUCUGAUGUGCAUAUUUCUCAACCACCCCGAGGACCCUCUGUUCUAAACUAGGUUCUUGGUGUGGGACUUAGGGCCGGCCAUUAGUCAGAUGCUACAAAUGCUAAGAUGGUAACAAACAGGGAGAGCUGGUCUGGGGUUUCUGUGUUUGUGUGUGUGUGUGUUAGGGGGGGUUAUAGUUAACUGAAAAAUAGACAGUCGAUUAGUUUGUGCAAAAGGUUGCUUAAGGUUUUUUUUUAAUUGAAGUAGCUGUUGUCUUUCUGUCUGUCUGUCUGUCUGUUGAGUUACGAACCGAUUUCCAAGAAAUUUUCUGAAGCAACACGUUACUUUUUGGUGCGAAUCUGGUUAAACUGGUGGAUCCAGGAAUAGUUUCUUUAACAGGUUGAGCCAGGACUUUAGCCUUUGGUAGAGGUAUGCGCUCUCUGAGUGCCCAUUGAGUUAUGAUUAAUUAUUAUAUCUUGAUUGACUUAUUGAUAAAAGCUACUUUUAAUGUGAACAAUCAUCAACCAAGUCAUUUCCUUUUAUAUAGUGAACCUUGAUGUAAAGAUUGUGGGUUUAAAAUCAUGCAGAAAUAAUUGUAGUGUAUAGAUAUACACAUAAAAAACAUUGAACGCUCUUUGAAGAGAUACAUCUAUAGUCCCAAACAUGUGUCUAGCAUCUUACAUUCAGCUUUAACUUUAUUCAUAGAUGGAUUUUAUCAGAUUUAUAUGUUUUUAUCACGUCAAUGUAUUAAAUGACUGCAUGUGUGACAAUCUAAAUGCUGUUAAAGCAAAAUUAUUACCUGAAUCUGCUUUUCCCUUCUGCUUUACACUGAGUUUCAGGUCAUUGUUUUCGUUCUGUGGCCCUAAACUGUUCUGUUCGGUUCCCUCCCACUGAUAGUAGGUCAUAGUCUGGUUUAUAGCAGCACCGUGCAUCUGCACACUACGGCAUGCAGACACAGGUAGUGAUGGAUUUGAUAAAGGGAAUCAUCAGGGGUAUUUUACCUGCAUUCUUAAGUAAAGAAGUUUGACAUAUUCAGCAUCGCUGCUUCUGACUCACUUGUCUCCACAGAGAACAACGUGAAACUGACCUCAGAGCAGCGGCUCAAACAUCAAACCAUCCGUCAAACCAACGUUUCCCCUGUCAGCAGUCUCACACUCCCUCCAGUGUCUGCAGUGCUGUAUAGCACUUCAGCAGAGACCCGCAUCCAUUGGCCCCUCUGGUGCCACAGCAAGGCGGGGGGGGGGCUGUGAAGUCAUUGUGGCCGUGAGCAGGACGAGUGCUAUUUACAGUGCCUGUUUAGAAAUGAGAUCUGUGUCAAUGAGAGAGGCCUGGUAUAUUUUCCACAUGAACAACAACAGGUUGGUGUCUGGUUCAAACUUCUCUGGAGCACAUGAGCUGAGAAAAUAGAUGUUUGAUAUGUUCAUUCUGAGCAUAUAAGGCUAUAAUCGUACAGCAUGUCCAUUGGUCUUAUUUUUGUAUGUAAAUGUAUAUUUUCUAAUAAAUGUUUAUUACUUAUUAAUUUAUUACACAGUGAAAGAAGAGUUGACUUGAUGCAUGUGCUCAGGAGCAGCACUGGACUUUGUUUCACUUUGUGGUCACAUCAGAACUACAGGUUAUUUGAUGCCUGAGGAGUUUAUGUCUACAGGCAAUAUAUACGUCAUUUAUAUAGAAACAUUACUUUAUUAUUAAUCACAAAAACAUUACUUCACUUAUGUAAUAACAGCUUGAAAGCCUCCAAACCCUCUUGGUUCACAUUCUGGAUUUAAAGCUUGUAGAAAAAGAAAAACACAAGAUUUAACAAGGAGCCUGUUUGAAGGUAUUUUUGGUCAAUCAAGAGCCAACUUAAAGCAACACUUUCACUAAGCAACAGCGCCCUCUGCAGCCACACAUGGUGAUUCAUUCUUUUGGACUCCGUGUCUGAUUUCUAUAUUUUUGGGCAUUUCGUCUUUAUUGAUAGGACGGCGAAAAUGUGCAAUGGUGAGCGAGAGCGGGGAAGACACGCAGCAAAGGGUCGGAACCGAACCUGCGGCUGCUGCAGGAAGGCUAAGAAAACAAGGCCUAUCAAUCUCUUGACCUCAAUUACAACACAACUGAACACUUUCCUCUUGACCACUUGAAGUCCCAUCCUCACAGGGAAGUCCAACUCUGAACAAAGCAGUUACAGGUGAUGGGGAUGAGUCACAUCUACAGUCACUGAGAGCAGCUGACCUACGCUGCUGGGUCACAUUAGGAUGAAGGUCCUCGUCCCCAUAAACAGAAACAGCAUGAACUCUGCGUAACUCUCUGUGAUGCUGGUUUGGGAUUAGAACAUUUUGUCCCGAGCAUCCCCACCCCCUCCCCCCGUCUCUUUUUUUUUUUGGCCACUCCCCGCCCUCGCUUCCUCUCUCUCUCUCCGGUGUCUGUUUGGAUUUUUGAAAUUCUAUGUUAUGCUCUCUCUCUCUAUCAUUCCCCUUUAAAAGAAGAGAGACUGAAACUAACACUUGAACACACACAACAAUUUAAAACUAACAGACAAUUUAGGUGUAGGUGUGUAAGAUACACAUAUUUUACUUGAUGCAUACAUACUCCUGUGUAUUUAUGUGUGGGAGCUUGUGAAUAUGUGUAUUAAUAUGUCUCACGUUGGAUGAAGACUAGUUUUUAACGACACAUUCAAAUGGAGCAGAUGCAAAAAACAAUCUGAAUUUGUGGGAGUGAUCUCAACAGACUGAGAGAAUUCAGUAACGGUUUCCACAGUCGUUUGUUUUAAGUGCAGUUCUGCCUGUAUUUCCUGUACUGAUUAUCAGUGGUGGGAAUUCAUACAAGCCUUAAGGAAAUCAUACCGCGUUUGCGUUCAGUUGCAUGUCAAGGCAUGUGUAACUGCAUGUUGACAUUUAAAGAGAUAUUUUUAGUUCCAGCCUCGUCAAUGCAAGAAACUGUCAUCUGUCAUGUUUAUUAUUCGUGCUAAAGAGGGUGUGGACAAUGUUAUAAAUGAAUGGUUGUUAUGGAACUGCCACAUUUUUUGUCCUUCCUCCUCCUCAUAGAUAAAUACCUUCCUAUUAACCUACCUACUGACCUACUGACCCGCCAACCUACCCAGUUAGGAAGGCUACUUCAUUAAAGAUCACCCCCUCAGGUCACCGUCUCAAGGUGCCUGUUAUGAGAAACAAGAGAUAUAAGGUUUCCUUCGUCCCGAUUGCCAUUCACAUGGUAAACUAUAUGUCCUGAUGUCUCUAUCGGUUGUCCACCAAUGUGUUAGUGUUUUAUGUGUGUGGGCGUUUUGUUUACAGUUUGUGGUUUUGUCUGUUUGUACGAUCCUGGCUGCAAAUCGAUUUAUACAUUGAACUUUGAACCUCCUAACACCUGAUCUCCUCCCUACCCACCUACACAGAUAUCCUAACUACCUACCUUCCCACCUGCGCAGCUAUCUUACCUCCUUACCUACCUACCUAUGCAGCUGUAUUUAUCCAGAUGUAAAGCAGUAGGUAUAGAUGUAACAGAGAGACAUGUGGUAACAGUGUCCUAGUUUCCCCUACAUUGAGAAGGUACUAUUUUUAGAAAGCAGGAAGAUAAAGGGGGAAACAGAUUCCCUGGGAGUUGACAGCAGCAGCUUCCUUUUCUGGACAAUUUACAACCUCUUAUGCUACGAUGACCUUUCCCUCUUCAUCGUUCACUCAUGGAAGUCCUCCCUCUGUCCACUUCUCCUUUGUACUGUGCCCUUACCUUUCUCGGUUUCCCCUCUCGACACUUUGUCCUUCUCCUGCACUUUGUUCUCUUCUCUCCUGCUUUCAUUUUUCCUCUUGAUUUAUGUCUCAUCUCCUUCAUACUGUGUCCUGCUUGCAAGCAUACAGACCUUAUGUUCCCCAAUCAUCUUCCUUCACCUGUCCUCCAUACGAGGAGUGUAAUACAGCAAUGGUGAUGUUGUGUGUAAGAUUUAAAGAAGAAAAUCAGUCA